rnacentral:ribozyme from 1 species
UGCCCAGCAACUCCUAUCCCUACCUCCGCGUGGUUCCGGCUGGAACUAUGAGAAAACUUACGAAAGAUCGGCUAACCAACUCCGGUAGGAACUUUGGUUGUAGGCUGACAGGGAAGG